UUCAGCACUCCAGGUAUCUCCUGUAAAGUUCGGAAGAAAACCCAGAAAGGAGAUUCACUGUCCCAAUGAAAUUGGCACCCCAGCCUCUACCAAGCAUCAGAAUGUCUUUGGCCGGUGCUAAGGUCCUCUCAUGGAGUCACGAACAGCCGGACACGACUAAACAACUAAACAACAACAAAGGUGCUCCGGCCACCACAGAACCGUGGGAUGAUUUUUGUGUGUGUGUGUUAUACUCCCCAGAACUGAAACUGGAUUUAAGUACUGUACAGUACAUAGUCCUGCUAUUUGCUGUAUUUGUUAUGGGUUUUUCUGAACCUACCCUGUGAGACUGAAUUGGAGGAUCAAAAUGCAGAGCCGAAGUUCUGUAGACUCACCCAAGAUCUGGUGCCAGACAAAACCACUACGGUCCAGGAGGUGGCGUUGUUGCAAAAAACGUGCAAAGAAGACGAGACACGGGAGAAAUAAAUACGAUUCCAUUUUUUCCCUACAGAUGGGCAGUGCUCUUACUAGGGUAAAUUAUGUACAGUACUCACAAAACAUACAAGCUUUUGAGUUGCCCAAAACUUUUCACCGGGCUAAACAGUAAAACAAAAACAAAACAAAAAAAAUGGGGAGGAGGGAAAGCAUAGAAAAUUGAUCACAUUAUUUAAGUCAUAGAUAUUUGCAGUUAAACAUCAUCCCAAACUGCACAGGAGAUGCUUCAUAAAUUAAACAAUCUGUAAUCG